rnacentral:rRNA from 1 species
GCGUGCCUAAGAAAUGCAAGUCGAACGGACGUACCAGCAAUGGUGCGUUAGUGGCGAACGGUCGCGUAACACGUAAGCAACCUGCCCUAAGGUGGGGGAUAACAGUCCGAAAGGAUUGCUAAUACCGCAUGUGGUUCCGAGGCGGCAUCGCUUUGGAUCUAAAGAUUUAUCGCCAUAGGAUGGGCUUGCGGCCUAUCAGGUAGUUGGUGGGGUAACGGCCUACCAAGCCGACGACGGGUAGCUGGUCUGAGAGGACGAUCAGCCGGAUUGGGACUGAGAUACGGCCCAGACUCCUACGGGGGGCAGCAAUUAGGAAUCUUGCGCAAUGGGGGCAACCCUGACGCAGCGACGCCGCGUGAAGGAUGAAGGAUUUCGGUCUGUAAACUUCUUUAGUGGGGGACGAAGAAUGUGACGGUACCCCAAAAAUAAGCCCCGGCUAACUACGUGCCAGCAGCCGCGGUAAUACGUAGGGGGCGAGCGUUGUCCGAAGUUACUGGGCGUAAAGCGCGCGUAGGCGGCUAACUAAGUCUGAGGUGAAAGGUUCAACGCUCAACGUGAACAGUGCCUUGGAGACUGGUUGGCUUGAGUGUGGCAGAGGAGCAUGGAAUUCCUGGUGUAGCCGGUGAAAUGCGUAGAGAUCAGGAGGAAUACC